CACGUAGGGGGCAAGCGUUGUCCGGAUUUAUUGGGCGUAAAGAGCUCGUAGGCUGUUCGAUAAGUCGGGUGGUGAAACCUCCAGGCUCAACCUGGAGACGCCACCCGAUACUGUCAUGACUAGAGUCCGGUAGGGGAGCGUGGAAUUCCUGGUGGUAGCGGUGAAAUGCGCAGAUAGUCAGGAGGAACACCAGCGGCGAAGGCGGCUGGCUGGACCUGACCUGACGCUGAGGCGCGAAGGCGUGGGGAGCGAAGCGGG
rnacentral:rRNA from 1 species